AGCGAACGCUGGCGGCAGGCCUAACACAUGCAAGUCGAACGAAGUCUUCGGACUUAGUGGCGGACGGGUGAGUAACACGUGGGAACGUGCCCUUUGGUACGGAAUAACUCAGGGAAACUUGAGCUAAUACCGUAUGUGCCCUUCGGGGGAAAGAUUUAUCGCCAUUGGAGCGGCCCGCGUCUGAUUAGCUAGUUGGUGAGGUAAAGGCUCACCAAGGCGACGAUCAGUAGCUGGUCUGAGAGGAUGAUCAGCCACAUUGGGACUGAGACACGGCCCAAACUCCUACGGGAGGCAGCAGUGGGGAAACUUGCGCAAUGGGCGAAAGCCUGACGCAGCCAUGCCGCGUGAAUGAUGAAGGUCUUAGGAUUGUAAAAUUCUUUCACCGGGGACGAUAAUGACGGUACCCGGAGAAGAAGCCCCGGCUAACUCCGUGCCAGCAGCCGCCGUAAUAC
rnacentral:rRNA from 1 species